AGAACAUAGCUUAACAAAAGCAUUUCGCUUACACUGAACUGAAGUCCGUUAAACCCGGACUGCUCUGAG
rnacentral:tRNA from 1 species